rnacentral:rRNA from 1 species
CCUACGGGAGGCAGCCGUGGGGAAUAUUGCACAAUGGGGGAAACCCUGAUGCAGCGACGCCGCGUGAGUGAAGAAGUAUUUCGGUACGUAAAGCUCUAUCAGCAGGGAAGAAAAUGACGGUACCUGACUAAGAAGCCCCGGCUAACUACGUGCCAGCAGCCGCGGUAAUACGUAGGGGGCAAGCGUUAUCCGGAUUUACUGGGUGUAAAGGGAGCGUAGACGGCAGCGCAAGUCUGGAGUGAAAUCCCAUGGCUUAACCAUGGAACUGCUUUGGAAACUGUGCAGCUAGAGUGCAGGAGAGGUAAGCGGAAUUCCUAGUGUAGCGGUGAAAUGCGUAGAUAUUAGGAGGAACACCAGUGGCGAAGGCGGCUUACUGGACUGUAACUGACGUUGAGGCUCGAAAGCGUGGGGAGCAAACAGGAUUAGAUACCCCUGUAGUC